CUUUCCUCUUUGUUUUUCACCUUCCUUGCUGUGCGAUUUUCUCCCUCUUCAUCGUUCCCUCUUUUGCUGCCAAAUCUUUGCUCUUUCUUCGCAGAAUAGUCGUUAGAAGAGAUCCUGACUUUAAUUUUAUUUUGGAUUUGGUUUCGGGUCUUCUCCGGUGUGCAACCCUUUGUUUGAUUUUAUUGGGUGUUUUGUUUCCGGUCUUCUCCGGUGACGAACCCUUUGUUGGCCAGCGUUUUGUUCUCAUCAGGUGCUUUGGCCGACGGACUCACUUGCCCAGUGGCGAAAGGGAGUUGUAGCUGGUGCUGAAAUUAGAGAUUCCGGUGCCGGGUCGUCGACAAGUUCGAUCAUCGCUGCCACCAGUUCACGCAGGCCUCAUCUCUAAGCUUUGGGAUCUGUAGACUGCUACAACUGCAGAGGCCAGGUCAAACGCCGCAGCAGCCUCGCUCCGUUUUCCAAAAUCCUCUUCACUUAGGCACUAUGAGUAUAAACUAAUGAACAAAGGUGAAGGCGAUAUCUAUUUAUACGGUUGGAGUUCAGAGUGAAAGUUUACUUUGAUGCUAAUAGGUUGGAUCACCAGGUGAAAUUUUCAUUUUGAGAUGUAGAUAUACGUUCGCUGCUUGCAUAUAAAUUACUUUGUUUACCUGCAACCACUUGCUUGAUUGCCCUGUUGUUUUGGCUGCUUACUCAACCUUUUUAUACGUAGGAGAGAUUUGAGUUUUAUCAUUACAACUAAAUGUCCAUAGACACAUGAUACAGAUUGAAGCAAAUGUCAAAUUUAAAAUGGUAUGAAUCAGGACAGCUGCAAACUGUGAUUUGCGGACCUAAAACGGAAAAGUAACUUCGCGCUUCACUUCGGCAGCAUAAUCCAGCUUUCGAGUUCAGUUUUCAGUUGCUGACAGAAUGGAUAGGAUGCCAAAAAGAAAGGUGGCAUGAGGAAUAAUGGCUUUUUUGAGAGAAUUAGAGUUUGAUCUCUUCAUUUGGGUUGUGCAUAUUUCCUUUGAAUUAAUUUGGGUUGUGAGGAAGUGAAUAAUUAUUUGAAUUAAUUAAUUUCUCUUGAGUUGUGCAAAUUUCCUUUGAAUUAAUUUGGGUUGUGUUUGAGCAUUGUAUAGGCAUGAACGUGGGUAAAGAGUACGUGGAUAAAGGGAAGAGAAAAUGCUGUGAUCAUCCACCUCAAUCAAUUUAUUGAGGUAUUUUUUGUACCUUUUUUCUGUUUAAAAUUAUAUGUUUUUAAUCUUUUAGGAGUAUAUCAUCGAGGAUUUGCCACAAAUUUAUGAGAAUUUCAUUUCAUCCAAACAAUGGGCGUUGAAAUGUUAGUGCCUCUUUAUUCAAAAUUUUCUUUAUUUGAAUAUUAUAUGUUUAGAAGUGUAAAUUUGUACUAUUGAAUCUUCACUCCAAUUUUAUAUUUCAUUUUUUUGUGACUUUCUGCAGAACUUGGAAUCAGCUUUUCACAUAACAUGGAUGAUAAAUAUAAGAAACUCAUACACAUAAUUACUCCACCAAGGUAUAUUGUACAGAUUUAUACCACCUGGCAAUCAACAACUAAUUUUACUUCCAAGAAGGCAAGACAAACAUAUGGCAUGUCACAGUGGUAUAUUUUUCACUAACAUAUGGUAAAAUUGUACACAUCACAUUAGGCAAGUUUCAAUCUUUUUUGCUUCCAUUGUAACACAUUUCUAAUUAACAUUUCGUACUAAAUUUUGAUUAAACUUUAUUUAAAUGUUUGAUUUCAGAAUUUCACAAGUCGUACCACCUCAAUAAUAAGAAAAAAAAUACAUUUGAUCUCCGGUUAUAAGUUGUAUUCACAACUGUCCAAGAGAGUGCAGCAAAAGGUCAAUUUUUCCUUGGAAGCACCUCAAGCUGGGAGCAAAUCUGAUAUGAGAAUGUAAUUGUGGUGGAGAAUAUAGAGAAGAUGGUAGGAUCUUAUUUUCCAACAGAUAAGGGCAGUUUUUGGUUUUGGCAUUUAAGAUAUUUAAUUAGGGUUUCUCUUGCAAUUGUAGAAUUUGUUAAUUUUGGAAGCAUGAAUUAAAUGUUUGGGAUUAACUUACAAUGCUUCCUAUCAAAACCAAUCAAAACCAUUUUCUGAAUCUAAUGUUACAAUGUUGUGCACUCUCAUUGAUAAGCAGAUUUUCAUUAUGAUGAAUUUUCAGUCUUUCUCAAAAUCUCCAUAACUAAAAUUCAUGUGGCAUUCGGUGUGAAUUUUGUCGGAUUUGUCUCAUUGCAUUGUAUUGAUUUCUUGUAUUGUUACCAUGCCCAUCAAUUUUUCCUUUUUAUUCCUAACUGUUUUCACUUUCAAGGAAAAGAGGUUUCUUGUUUGAUGCCUUGCAGGAAAGCUGUGGUUUUGACAAUUAGGGCAAAUAAACGUCACUUAUGAAGAGGAUGAUUGCACCAUCCACCAAGUUGGAAAAGGAGGUGAAUCUUUGAUAUGGCAGAUCUGGAACUUUUACGUAUUGAUUUUAACCAACUCCUUUUUAGGUGUAAUUUUGGACUUAUUUUGUUUUGAAGUCGACUAUAUUUGUUUUAGCUUCUGAUGAGGUGCAAGGCUUGCUAGGGAAGAUGCAUUUGUCCAAAAAUGUCUGCUUUCAAGUUCUUUUUGCAUUAGAGAUGAAAUAUGUAACAUUACAAUAUAUGUUUCUGAGAUUGAGAAUGUGUUGUAGGCUUUCUACA